UUAUGGCCAUAUCAUGUUGAAACACUAGUUCCUCUACAAACACCGAAGUUAAGAAACAUCAAGCCUGGUCAGUACCUAGAUGGGUAACCAUUUGUGAAUACAAAGUGCUGUAAG